AUACGUAGGGGGCGAGCGUUGUCCGGAAUGAUUGGGCGUAAAGGGCGCGUAGGCGGCCCGGUAAGUCUGGAGUGAAAGUCCUGUUUUUAAGAUGGGAAUUGCUUUGGAUACUGUCGGGCUUGAGUGCAGGAGAGGUAAGUGGAAUUCCCAGUGUAGCGGUGAAAUGCGUAGAGAUUGGGAGGAACACCAGUGGCGAAGGCGAAUUACAGGACUGUAACUGAAGCUGAGGCGCGAAAGUGUGGGGAGCAAACAGGAUUAGAUACCCUGGUAGUCCACACUGUAAACGAUGAAUGCUAGGUGUAGGGGGUAUCGACCCCUUCUGUGCCGUAGCUAACGCAUUAAGCGCCCCGCCUGGGGAGUACGGCCGCAAGGCUAAAACUCAAAGGAAUUGACGGGG
rnacentral:rRNA from 1 species